GUCCGGAAGUUCAUGACCAGCCUGGGCAACAUAGUGAGAAACCAUCUCUGCAAAAAGUAAAAAAAUUAGCCAGAUGUGGUGGUGCACACUUGUAGUCCCAGCUACUCCGGAGGCUGAGGCGGGAGAAUUGCUGAGCCUGGGAGGUCGAGCCUGCAGUGAGCUGUGACUAUACCACUGCACCCCAGCCUGACAUGGCUGGGCAAGGUGGCUCAUGCCUGUAAUCCAAGCACUUUGGGAGGCAGAGGUGGGAAGAUCACUUGAGCCUAGGAGUUCGAGACCAGCCUGGACAAUAUAGUGAGACCCUAUCUCUAAAAAAAAAAACAAAAAAAAGAAAAGAAAAAAAUUACCUAGGUGUGGUGGCACACAUCUGUGGUCCCAGCUAUGCAGAAGGCUGAGGUGGGAUAGUUGCUUGAGCCUGGAGGCCCAGGUUGCAGUAAGCCAUAAUCACGCCACUGCACUUCAGUGUGACAGAGCCAGACCCUGUCAAAAAUUUUUUUAAAAGGAGUCCUGAGUGGUGAGUGGCCCUCACACUGCAUGACACAGCUAUGUCUACGUCUCCGUGUGGCUCCAGCUUUCUAGAACACAUCAAGCUUCCCUGACCCAUGCCAUGCCCUCUGGCCUCUGGCCCUUCACUGAAUGCUAUUCCCUCUUCUUCUUGAGAUGGAGUCUCGCUCUGUCGCCCAGGCUGGAGUGAUGUGGCGCGAUCUCUCUUCGCCUGCUGGGUUCAAGCAAUUCUCCAGCCUCAGCCUCCCGAGUAGCUGGGAUUACAGGCACACACCACCAUGCCUAUAUUUUUAGUAGAGAUGGGGUUUCACCAUGUUGGCCAGGCUGGUCAUGAACUCCUGACCUCAGGUGAUCUGCCUGCCUCGGUCUCCCAAAGUGCUGGGAUUACAGGCGUGAGCCACCGUGCCUGGCCUAUUCUCUCUUCUUAGCAUGUUUUCCCCACCUUUUCCUGGCAAUAACCUGUCCUUCAAGUCUUUACUUGGACAUUACCUCCUCCAGGAAACCUUCCCUGAACACCACCCAGCUGCCACCUGCUGUAGUUGGAUUACUCAUUCUCUCACGUAGGUUCCCACAGCAGGUGUCUCCCUCAACCCAACCUGGACGGGGGGCCACCUGGAUUGACAUUCGUCAUCUCUUCCACUGGACCGUGAGCUCCUUGAGGGCAGAUAAGAAAACUGAGGCUCAGAACGGGAAGUUCAUUGCUCAUCAUCAAACAUCCAGGAAAUGGUGGAGCCUGAAUGGGAACUCAGCUUCCAACAUGGCGUGGAUGUGGCCCAUCCCUUGGUGGCCUGGCUGGGUCUAUCUUAUGACAGUACGAGAUUGAAUGUUGGAGUGCCUUGCAGAAGAGAGAGAAAAUGUUGCUAAAACUUCAGGGGAAUGACUGGUCGAAAAUGUUUGACAUUCUUAAACUUGACAGGCCCAGAAACAGAAGGGGCUGGGGACCUGGGCUCCUGGGUCUGAGGGAGGAGGGGUUGGGGCGGGGGGUCUGGACUCUUGGGUCUGAGGAAGGAGGGGCUGGGGGGGAGCCUGGACUCCUGGGUCUGAGGGAGGAGGGGUUGGGGCGGGGGGUCUGGACUCCUGGGUCUGAGGAAGGAGGGGCUGGGGGGGAUCUGGACUCCUGGGCCUGAGGGAGGAGGGGCUGGGGGGAGUCUGGAUUCCUGGGUCUGAGGGAGGAGGGGCUGGCGGCGGGGAGCGGUCUGAACUCCUGGGUCUGAGGGAGGAGGGGCUGGGGGGAGUCUGGACUCCUGGGUCUGAGGAAGGAGGGGCUGGGGGC
rnacentral:lncRNA from 1 species